AGCGAACGCUAGCGGCGGGCCUAACACAUGCAAGUCGAGCGGGGAGCAAUCCCAGCGGCGAACGGGUGAGUAACACGUAGGUAAUGUGCCUUUUGGUGGGGAAUAACCGUGGGAACCAUGGCUAAUACCGCAUAUCGUGCUUCGGCAUGAAAGCUUCUGAGGCAACUCGGGGGCGCCAGUUGAGCAGCCUGCGUCCCAUUAUUUAGUCCUAGUUGGUAGGGUAAUGGCCUACCAAGGGUACGAUGGGUAGCUGGUCUGAGAGGAUGAUCAGCCACACUGGAACUGAGACACGGUCCAGACUCCUACGGAGGCAGCAGUGGGGAAUAUUGCGCAAUGGGGGGAAACCCUGACGCAGCCACGCCG
rnacentral:rRNA from 1 species